rnacentral:lncRNA from 1 species
GGUGUACCGGAUUUUGCAGGGAGGGUGGUCUUGGAGUCUAGUGUGUUGUGUUUACCUGUGUUGAUUGUUAACCUAGCCCUCAGUGAGUCAACUCUUGAUUGAUCUUGGGUUUGGAUUUCUUCCACAGUCAACAUGUCUUUACUAAACUUAGAACAUGGUCCAUGUUUGUGAACUACUUCCAGUGAUCCCCUUUUCUUGUCACCUGAGGGGUUGCACAUAGAAGAUGGUAAGAAAGAGCUUAGUUUGAGGGUAUGAUAAUGUUGUGAUUCUUCAUCACUUGACUCUACAACAAACUCUUUUCUU